CUUGCGGGUUAAAAUUGGUCAAACAAAUAUAUCAAAAAUCAACCCUUACAUUGCCCUUUUUAUAAGUCGUUUCCAACAAAUCUGAUAUACAUGAGCUGAAAACCCGAGAAGGAUAGACCACAACACAAAUCUCUAACCCAAACCCUAAACCUCAAAUCAAAUUGUAAACUUUACGUAGAUUAAACCCAAAAUCCCAUUGUUGAAGACUGAGAACUAUGAGAAGGCUGAACCAUUAAACCUGAUAUUGCAAAACCGAACCCUGACUUGCAAAUCAAUUUUGGACAUCCAUUGGAGAACUCCCAAAACCUAACAUACGAGUUGCAUAGCGAACGAUAUCUAACCAUGGGAUGAGAAACAAACCGCAGUCUGAGAAACAGAGAAAGCAGUUACUGGGAGCUAAAGUUUGGUAUGCAAUUUUUCUGUAUUAUGAAGAUUUGUUUGCUAAUGAUUUACAGUUUGUUGUGUACAUAUUAACAAGUGUCAAUAUGUUUUCCUAUAAAUGUUGAUCCUAUCAUUGUGAGAAAAGAAAAAUGUAAUCAAAUUUGGGAGAAAUAGUAAUUUUUAUUUUCAGUGGCAUCAAUUAAUGGUAAAAGAAAGCUUGAAUAUA
rnacentral:lncRNA from 1 species